rnacentral:rRNA from 1 species
UACGUAGGGUGCAAGCGUUGUCCGGAAUUAUUGGGCGUAAAGAGCUCGUAGGCGGUUUGUCGCGUCUGCUGUGAAAACUCAGGGCUUAACUCUGAGCUUGCAGUGGGUACGGGCAGACUAGAGUGCGGUAGGGGAGACUGGAAUUCCUGGUGUAGCGGUGAAAUGCGCAGAUAUCAGGAGGAACACCGGUGGCGAAGGCGGGUCUCUGGGCCAUAACUGA